AUGCCCGCUACACGCCUGACGUUACAUCUCCAACAGCUGAUGGAGCAGCUUGACCAAGAAGCCCAGUCCAGAGCUCACUUGGAGGAGGAGCUUGUCAAGGAGAGGCAGGCCAACGCUCUUUUGCAGGAGCAGCUUCGAAAGAAGAACGAAGAUGAAGCCACGUACAAGCAGCAGAUAGCAACUCUCACGCAGAGGAAUCAAGCUGAAGCAAAGAAAAGCAAGAGUGACGUCGCCAAGCUCCAAGAUGAGAUAAGGAAGCUCACUGGUGUUCUUAAGGCUAGGCAUGAGGAAGACAAGCUGAGCUGGGAGCGCAUUCAAGGCGUCUUGAAGGCUUGGGAAGAUCGCAAAGCUGCUCGUGGAUGUAGUUUAGCUGAGUAA
rnacentral:rRNA from 1 species